AGAAGUUAAUUAUUUUUAUGUUAAGAAAUCUACUCUUCGUUAUUGGUUGUUUAUGGUUAAUACAUCUCAAUCAUAAAAGUGUAAUACCUAAACAAUAUGGAAUACUAAGAGAUUUGUCAGAAUCAAAGACAGUUUUGACAAUUCGUUGAUUCAACCAUUUCUUUAGAGUCUGAACAUAUGUAUUCGUCAUAUUUAUAUUUAUUACAGUCUCAUCACAUUACAUUACUUUUCAUUCAUAAUACUUAACCUAACGCACACAGCUAUUCUGAUAGCAGGAGUUGUUAGAGACUCAAACCAGCAUUCAUAACCAUACACUUCCAGUAAGAUACCAAUACUUUGUAAAUGUUGCUAAUCAUUAUAAGGAAACAUUUUUCAAUACAAUGAAAAAUAAUUAAAUUAAAUUGAAAGGGAAAAGGCCACUCUCCACGCCUUAAACGUUUAAUAUUAAGAAAUUCAAACCGGCUUUGACAAGGUGAAAGAGUAGCACAACUAACAAGUUUCUUAAAGCUAAUAAAAUAAAGGCAAUGGUAAAUUUUAUUUACUGUUGCCUUGUGAAACAUAAGCUCUGACGAAAAUAAAGACAUUUUAACAUUAACCCCCACAUCCGGAAUGCAUUGGUACCCAUUUACAUUUAUUGUUUGGUCGACUGAUGCAAUCGCUAUAAAGUGAUUUGCUCAAGGACAAAAUGCAAUGGGAAUAACCGGAAGUCAAACCUGCGGCCUUCAUCUCUGUAGGAAAGCGUCUUAGCCCACUCACGCAAUAUUGUCUUCGUUUCCUUUACACAAAUCUUCAAGUUUAAUCUAGUGGCUUAGAAGAAUACUUUUAAUGUGCAAUGAAAAGAGGGUUAAAAGCUCAGCAUUGACAUUUUAUAUAUCAUGGAAAGAAGAAGCACAGCAUUGACUGCGUCGUUCUUAUUCACUCUACCAUUACAUUGCAAUCCUGUGAAUCAAUAGGGCAUAUACACGGACAGGAAUGAGCUUUAGGUUGCAAAAUGUAUGGUUUGGGCUUGAAAUGGAAGAUGUUUCUUUGUUCCAUAGUGGCGUGCUUUAUCUUUUCAAUACCGGUUUACAGAUUGUACUCAAAUGAGCAGACAUACCUUGAUAGCGACUGGUCCAGUCAGCUUCCUCUGCACUUUGACAUUGAUGAUAUCACUAAAAAAGGAACCGGAGAAAAGAUUACAGUUCUGGCAAAAGUCAUCCACAGCGCAAAAAAACACGUCAGAGGGUCGAAAACGUCACAAUAUUUACGUGAGGCUGUAUCCAUCAUAAAUAGUAUACUUACAGACAUAAUUGUGGACUCAGAGAAUGUGUAUAAAAGAUUUAACAAGAAAUCAUCACAUAUUUGUUCAGAAACUUUUAAAGGUGGUAAUUUUGGUUUCCUAUGUAUUAUAAAGGAUUUGAGACCGACAGCUGCGAUUAUGGCGUAUCAGUUUCCAGUCUUGUAACUGUAAUUAAAUAUAUUAUUGUAAAACCAAAUGAUGUAGAAUCUAAAGGGAUUGAAAUUGAUCAGUUUUUAUCAUCUUUAUAUGACACCAUGAACAAUGUUAGAACUUUGAUAGCAGUGAAUGCUGCUACGUUUCCAAAUGAAAAGAAAACGAAAUAUCCCUUGGUAAAAAUAAUUCAGUCAAAUGAUAAGUCAGAGGGAGCAGCCCUUAACAAAUUAAUAAAAGAAGUAAAGACACCGUAUGUUUUUGUUGCAAGGAAUAUAAAUUUCAUAACAAAUGAUUCUAGAUUAGAACGACUGGUUAGAGAAAUAGAAAGUUUGAAUGUGGUUGCUGCAGGUGGCUCCAUUCGUGAUUUGAAUGGACAUUGGAAAAAGGGUUGUUUUCAGUCUGUUUAUCGAAAUUACACUUUGAAAUAUAUUGAAGGUUAUGACGAGUCUUUUCACGAGUGUGUGUUUUGUGAUUAUAUACAGGGACCUUUUGUUACAACUACCAGUUACUUGAAACAAAAUGUAUUUCAAGAGUUUGACGAAAGCAAUGGGAUUAUACGAGGACUGGUUUCUCCGAUUAUUUCAAAAAGGAAAGGAAACGGUUGUGUGUCCGGACGCAAUGUUUAAUGUUGAUAAUCGAACUGCACAGUCAGAUUCAAACUGGACAAAUUUUGCGCAAAAAUGGAAUCUAUUCAAAGUUAAAACACCAAAAGGUUAUACAUUUACUCGAAGUUGUGAGAAACAGGAAACUUCAAGUAGGCCCUCGCAAUCACUGUCGCCGUGUGCUUUGCAGAAAAUGAGUAAUGGCGUAAAGACUAUAAUGCGAAUAUGUGAGGAAACCGGUGUCAUAUGCGAGUUGCAAGAAGGCACUUCGUUAGGUGCUGUAAAGUUUGGAAAAGUUCUUCCGUGGGACUUGGACUUUGACAUAAGAUUUCUUGCGACAAACUGUUCGAAAUGCAUGCAGCUUGAAAGUGCUUUCAAAAAGACAGCAGAUUUAAAAGUUGAUAGUUUUUCAUCGUCUUGUUGCAAUAAGAAACUUAAAUUUGGCGAGAGAGAUAAUUUUGCCAUUCAUUACCAAGGUUACGGUGGUGAUUUUACCGGGCACCCUGUCAUGGACAGUGAUAUCCUUAGCAAAGCCGGUUUAGCACCUACUAAAAUACUGUUUGAUGGACAAUGGGUAAAUGUUCCUAGAAAUCCUGGACUGUUCAUGAGAAAUAGAUACGGCAAAGAGUUAUAUCAACAUGCUGAACACUGGAGGUAUAGUGGAGGUGGAGUAAAAAACCACAGACUUAACUAUACAACUAAUCUAUUUAUUUCAUGCAAACAACAAAGUAGCCACGAUUGUUUGGAUAGAUAUAACGCCGAUGGCGACUUGCCCUUCGAAGAAACACCUCCUCCAUAAUGCUUACUUAAGUGUUAUAUACGAUAAUAAAGCACAAUGGCUUUU
rnacentral:misc_RNA from 1 species